rfam:Ciona savignyi cont_24843, whole genome shotgun sequence.
ACUGGGUUGGCCGAGUGGUUAAGGCGUUGGACUUAAGUUCCAAUGGACAAGUGUCCGCGUGGGUUCGUACCCCACCACCCAGU